ACUUUCCUCAUCAUGUUCCAAGGAAGAACUUAGAGAAAACUCCCUCGGAAUUUCCGAGAACACCCACUUGUUCAUCCUUCCCGAAGGUGUUUGAUCCGCUGUAUGUCUUCUCUGGUGAGCUUCGCCACAAUCUAAUCAUAAGAACGUGAUCUAUAGAUCCUUUCCAUGGAUCAAACACAUUCCGUCGAGCUCGUCGGCGUCCUCGGUGUCCAGAGCGCCGCCGUCGGUCGCUUCGCCGUUCCCGAUGAUCCGGUGCAUCUCCGACCUAGCCGCUGCGCCAUGAGCGUCGCCAAGGUUCUAGGAUAAGGCCUGCGAAGGGAAUCGCGCUGAAGAGCAGCCAACAAGGAGAUCCUCUCUUUCUUCCUCAAGUCCGGCCGCCGGCCAACGUCGUCCGUUCCUCGCUCUCGGGUGAGCUUCGGCGCAGUUCCUCGUUCGUGUAGCAUCCUUAGAUUGUCGUUGAGCCGUUCCACUUCUCUUCUUGGCAGUCCGGAGUCUGGAAGGGGGUCGACGCCGUUGCCAUGCCGUUUCUUGCCGUCGCCGGAGCAUCCUUCACGCCGUCGUCGCCAUUCAAGCGUUACCGGCGCAUGUCCAACCCACAACGGUGAAUUCGUUACCGGUGAGGUGAUUGGUCUUAUAGCUGAUCUCAAGAAGGUCUUAUAUCAACCAAGGAAUAGGCUUAGUUUAAUUUGAGUGAUGCGGGUUUCGACUGCUUCUUCUAGGAUGUGAACUUAAUGGGGUAAACCCCUAGUCGGUGUGCUUGAGGAUUGGGUAGUCAAGCUUCCGCUGUUCUCUGAUAUAGUUAUAUUUGGCCGGUCGGCCUAUGUAUCUAUUUAUUAGUUGUAAUCUGAGUUUUAUUUGCUUUAGAUGUAUCUUGCUAUGUAUAUUCAUACUUAAGAUGAAAGUGUGAAUCUAGUGCACUUCCUGGG
rnacentral:sRNA from 1 species